rnacentral:rRNA from 1 species
AUUGAACGCUGGCGGCAUGCCUUACGCAUGCAAGUCGAACGGCAGCACGGGGCAACCUGGUGGCGAGUGGCGAACGGGUGAGUAAUGCAUCGGAACGUACCUUUCAGUGGGGGAUAACGUAGCGAAAGUUACGCUAAUACCGCACAUUCUGUGAGCAGGAAAGCAGGGGAUCGCAAGACCUUGCGCUGAUUGAGCGGCCGAUGUCAGAUUAGCUAGUUGGUGAGGUAAAGGCUCACCAAGGCGACGAUCUGUAGCGGGUCUGAGAGGAUGAUCCGCCACACUGGAACUGAGGCACGGUCCAGACUCCUACGGGAGGCAGCAGUGGGGAAUUUUGGACAAUGGGGGCAACCCUGAUUCAGCCAUGCCGCGUGAGUGAAGAAGGCCUUCGGGUUGUAAAGCUCUUUCGGCCGGGAAGAAAUCGCACGGGCUAAUACCCUGUGUGGAUGACGGUACCGGAAUAAGAAGCACCGGCUAACUACGUGCCAGCCGCCGCGGUAAUAC